AAGCAUCAGAGUCUGAACUACCAUCUCCUGUCUUCUGCGUUUUUUCCCAUUACACCACAGCUCUGGAAAUUCCUAUCUACAAUUAAAAUAAGGGAGUUUAGGGAAGACUUGAAUUUUCAUGAGCCGUUCAUAAAAAACAACAACAAAAAAAAACAAAACAAAACAAAACCCAAAAAAACCAACCCAGGGUACCAUUCUUUUUUCUGUAUUGACAUGAUUGUGUGUGGCCAGUACAUGGCUCAGAGACAGAUGUCUAAAUUUGUUUAUUUUGGAUGCGUCAAGGACUCUGCUUUAGUAACUAAUGAGGGUUUCUUUGCCUUUGCUCAAAGGAUGAAUGCAGCCAUCAUGGUGUAUAGGAUUUUGCAGAGUUUUGUGAAGUCUGAUGGAGUAGACUUUAUCCAUAACAAUGCCAAACGUGAUCUGUGACGGUUGACGUCUAAUCACAAAGUCUGCCUGAGAAGGAAUUAACAUAAAGAAAGGUUGAACAAAAGAUGAGUAGAGGUGUGCCUGGAUGGCUCAGUCGGUAAGUGUCCAACUUUUGAUUUCAGCUCAGGUCAUGUUCCCAGGGUUAUUGGGUGGAGCCCUGCAUCAGGGCAACGCAGAACCUGCUUGGAAUUCUCUCUCUUCCUCUCUCUCUGCCCCUCCCCUGUGCAUGCUGCUCCCCCUCUCUCUCUCUCAAAAUGAGUAAAUAAAUAUUAAAAAAAAAAGAUGAGUGGAGAUUCC
rnacentral:lncRNA from 1 species